rnacentral:rRNA from 1 species
GACGAACGCUGGCGGCGUGCCUAAUACAUGCAAGUCGAGCGAAUCUUGAGGUGCUUGCACCUCUUGGUUAGCGGCGGACGGGUGAGUAACACGUGGGCAACCUGCCUGUAAGACUGGGAUAACUUCGGGAAACCGGAGCUAAUACCGGAUAAUCCUUUUCCUCUCAUGAGGAAAAGCUGAAAGUCGGUUUCGGCUGACACUUACAGAUGGGCCCGCGGCGCAUUAGCUAGUUGGUGAGGUAACGGCUCACCAAGGCGAAGAUGCGUAGCCGACCUGAGAGGGUGAUCGGCCACACUGAGACUGAGACACGGCCCAGACUCCUACGGGAGGCAGCAGUAGGGAAUCUUCCGCAAUGGACGAAAGUCUGACGGAGCAACGCCGCGUGAGCGAUGAAGGCCUUCGGGUCGUAAAGCUCUGUUGUUAGGGAAGAACAAGUAUCGGAGUAACUGCCGGUACCUUGACGGUACCUAACCAGAAAGCCACGGCUAACUACGUGCCAGCCGCCGCCGUAA